UGGGGAAUAUUGCACAAUGGGCGCAAGCCUGAUGCAGCCAUGCCGCGUGUAUGAAGAAGGCCUUCGGGUUGUAAAGUACUUUCAGCGGGGAGGAAGGCGAUAAGGUAAUAACCUUGUCGAUUGACGUUACCCGCAGAAGAAGCACCGGCUAACUCCGUGCCAGCAGCCGGCGUAAUACGGAGGGUGCAAAGCGUUAUCGGAAUUACUGGGCGUAAAGCGCACGCAGGCGGUCUGUCAAGUCGGAUGUGAAAUCCCCGGGCUCAACCUGGGAACUGCAUUCGAAAC
rnacentral:rRNA from 1 species